AGAAAUUUAAGUCAACAGACUAAAAACCUUCAAAACCUAAAGGAGAAGUUAAAACCUUAUAAUUUCUG
rnacentral:tRNA from 1 species